GGCCAGGUAGCUCAGUUGGUAGAGCGUCCGACUGAAAAUCGGAAGGUCCGGGGUUCGACCCCCCGCCUGGCCACCA
rnacentral:tRNA from 1 species